rnacentral:rRNA from 1 species
CACCACUAAGCCAGUGGUGAACUCCGCAUACGCAUCCUUUGCUGAGGAUACGGUUAACGGAGCGAGAGCGACGUUUAACCGCAAAAGAAGCAGAGGGGGCUUAGUGGUGGGGUGACUGCGUACCUUUUGUAUAAUGGGUCAGCGACUUAUAUUCUGUAGCAAGGUUAACCGAAUAGGGGAGCCGGAGGGAAACCGAGUCUUAACCGGGCGUUAAGUUGCAGGGUAUAGACCCGAAACCCGGUGAUCUAGCCAUGGGCAGGUUGAAGGUUGGGUAACACUAACUGGAGGACCGAACCGACUAAUGUUGAAAAAUUAGCGGAUGACCUGUGGCUGGGGGUGAAAGGCCAAUCAAACCGGGAGAUAGCUGGUUCUCCCCGAAAGCUAUUUAGGUAGCGCCUCGUGAAUUCAUCUCCGGGGGUAGAGCACUGUUUCGGCCAGGGGGCCAUCCCGGCUUACCAAUCCGAUGCAAACUGCGAAUACCGGAGAAUGUUAUCACGGGAGACACACGGCGGGUGCUAACGUCCGUCGUGAAGAGGGAAACAACCCAGACCGCCAGCUAAGGUCCCAAAGUCAUGGUUAAGUGGGAAACGAUGUGGGAAGGCCCAGACAGCCAGGAUGUUGGCUUAGAAGCAGCCAUCAUUUAAAGAAAGCGUAAUAGCUCACUGGUCGAGUCGGCCUGCGCGGAAGAUGUAACGGGGCUAAACCAUGCACCGAAGCUGCGGCAGCGAACGUAUCACCCAAGACAACUUUGCACAGUUGACGAUUGACGGAGCGAAGCGACGUCAAAGCGUUUUACAACGUCGAGUUGGCUUAGGGAUACGUUCGUUGGGUAGGGGAGCGUUCUGUAAGCCGUUGAAGGUGUGUCGUGAGGCAUGCUGGAGGUAUCAGAAGUGCGAAUGCUGACAUAAGUAACGAUAAAGCGGGUGAAAAGCCCGCUCGCCGGAAGACCAAGGGUUCCUGUCCAACGUUAAUCGGGGCAGGGUGAGUCGACCCCUAAGGCGAGGCCGAAAGGCGUAGUCGAUGGGAAACGGGUUAAUAUUCCCGUACUUGGUGUUACUGCGAAGGGGGGACGGAGAAGGCUAUGUUGGCCGGGCGACGGUUGUCCCGGUUUAAGCGUGUAGGCUGACUUUCCAGGCAAAUCCGGAGAGUCAAGGCUGAGGCGUGACGACGAGGCACCACGGUGCUGAAGCAACAAAUGCCCUGCUUCCAGGAAAAGCCUCUAAGCCUCAGGUAACAUCAAAUCGUACCCCAAACCGACACAGGUGGUCAGGUAGAGAAUACCAAGGCGCUUGAGAGAACUCGGGUGAAGGAACUAGGCAAAAUGGUGCCGUAACUUCGGGAGAAGG